rnacentral:rRNA from 1 species
GAUGAACGCUGGCGGCGUGCCUAAUACAUGCAAGUCGAGCGAACAGACGAGGAGCUUGCUCCUCUGACGUUAGCGGCGGACGGGUGAGUAACACGUGGAUAACCUACCUAUAAGACUGGGAUAACUUCGGGAAACCGGAGCUAAUACCGGAUAAUAUAUUGAAGCGCAUGGUUCAAUAGUGAAAGACGGUUUUGCUGUCACUUAUAGAUGGAUCCGCGCCGCAUUAGCUAGUUGGUAAGGUAACGGCUUACCAAGGCAACGAUGCGUAGCCGACCUGAGAGGGUGAUCGGCCACACUGGAACUGAGACACGGUCCAGACUCCUACGGGAGGCAGCAGUAGGGAAUCUUCCGCAAUGGGCGAAAGCUUGACGGAGCAACGCCGCGUGAGUGAUGAAGGUCUUCGGAUCGUAAAACUCUGUUAUUAGGGAAGAACAAAUGUGUAAGUAACUAUGCACGUCUUGACGGUACCUAAUCAGAAAGCCACGGCUAACUACGUG